rnacentral:rRNA from 1 species
UACCAGCACCCCGAGUGGUCGGGACGAUUAUUGGGCCUAAAGCAUCCGUAGCCGGUUCUGCAAGUCCUCCGUUAAAUCCAGCUGCUCAACAGAUGGGCCGCGGAGGAUACUACAGAGCUAGGAGGCAGGAGAGGCAAGCGGUACUCAGUGGGUAGGGGUAAAAUCCGUUGAUCCAUUGAAGACCACCAGUGGCGAAGGCGGCCUUCUGGACGGAUACUGACGCUGAGACGCGAAAGCGUGGGGAGCAAACAGG